AGAGUUUGAUCCUGGCUCAGGAUAAACGCUGGCGGCGUGCCUAACACAUGCAAGUCGAACGCGGUCUGUGCAAACAGGCCGAGUGGCGGACGGGUGAGGAACACGUGGGUUAUCUACCAAGAGGUGAGGAAUACCGGCGAGAAAUCGCCGACAAUACCGCAUAGGUUUCGGGCAACCGAAACAAAGCUGAGCGCAAGCUCGGUGCCUUUUGAUGAGCCUGCGCCCGAUUAGCUUCGUUGGUGGGGUAACGGCCUACCAAGGCGACGAUCGGUAGCUGGUCUGAGAGGACGAUCAGCCACACUGGGAUUGAGAACGGCCCAGACUCCUACGGGGGGCAGCAGUGAGGAAUUUUCGUCAAUGGGGGAAACCCUGAACGAGCAACGCCGCGUGCAGGAAGAAGGUUUUCGGAUCGUAAACUGCUUUUCUCUGGGAAGAGAAUGGACGGUACCAGAGGAAGAAGCCCCGGCUAACUACGUGCCAGCAGCCGCGGUAAUACGUAGGGGGCAAGCGUUGUCCGGAUUUAUUGGGCGUAAAGGGCGCGCAGGCGGUCUACUCAGUUUUGAGUGACAGGUGGUGGCUUAACUGCCACAGGCCUUGAAAUACUAGUAGACUUGAGGACUUCAGAGGGAUGCGGAAUUCCAGGUGGAGCGGUGAAAUGCGUAGAGAUCUGGAAGAACACCAAUGGCGAAGGCAGCAUCCUGGGAAGUAUCUGACGCUGAGGUGCGAAAGCCAGGGGAGCGAACGGGAUUAGAUACCCUAGUAGUCC
rnacentral:rRNA from 1 species